AUGGAUAGAAAGAUGAGUUUGUUCUCCGCAGCUUGCUCAGACCAUGUUUGUUUUUGUGUUUUGUUUUUUUUUUUUUUUUUUUUUUUUUUUGGGGGGGGGGUUUGUUUGUUUGUUUGUUUUUUGUCUGUUUCAUCUCUCCAUCUCUCUCCUAGGUCACACUGGUGUAAGCAGAGCCUGCUGGUUAUGGAGCCUGUGAUGCCCAUUGCCUUUGGUGUGCUGCACAGUCCCAAAGCAAGGGCAGCCACUGGGGGGGGUUCUCAAACCGUUUCACUUCCAAAAGGAAAAGAAGCUGGCAGGCAUUCAUAUUUCAGUCCUCAAGUUAUGUAUGUUAAAGUCUCCCAGUGGGAAAAUGGAAGAUAUAAGAGAGCAGAGAGCUGGUGGAGAUACUUGUUAAGCGAAAACAGAAGAAAGAAGCACGUAACCCUAGAGCUACAUCCAGACAAAUUAGAGGUUUCAGAGGUAAUUUGCUGUGGAAGGAGUCCAGGGCUGCCAUCUUCAGCGUCUCACAUACCCUCUAUUCCAGGGGUGUCUUUCCAUGGAAUAUUUGUCUCCUCUGUAAAAAAAUUCAUCUCUUUUCUGUGGAUGGAGGAAUUUGCCACACCAUAG
rnacentral:lncRNA from 1 species